UACGUAGGUGGCAAGCGUUGUCCGGAAUUAUUGGGCGUAAAGGGCUCGUAGGCGGUCUGUCACGUCGGGAGUGAAAACUCAGGGCUUAACCCUGAGCCUGCUUCCGAUACGGGCAGACUAGAGGUAUGCAGGGGGAGAACGGAAUUCCUGGUGUAGCGGUGAAAUGCGCAGAUAUCAGGAGGAACACCGGUGGCGAAGGCGGUUCUCUGGGCAUUACCUGACGCUGAGGAGCGAAAGUGUGGGGGAGCGAACAGG
rnacentral:rRNA from 1 species